AGGAGACAACAUCCUGACAGUGGAGCAAUUCAGAUCAUUGUUUUUGUUGUUCAGCAUGGUUUGCAUUCUUCUCAACUAGUGUCUUUGAGGAACACAAAAGAAGAGAUGUAAGAACAGCUGCAGCAGCAAGAGCUCCCCCUUUCAGACACCAGGGAGCCCACAAGAUCUGCCCAGUGUUUUCUCAAUCCUUCAGCACCUAAUGCAGAGGAUCAAAGGCCCACUGAAUCUCUGCGUGUGGGUUUUUGACUGAUGUGCUGACUCUUUCAGAUCACUCUUCAGGAGAAGGUGGCUCGGGACAACUGGACCGGAAGAAAUCCAAAGACAGAGGCCACCAGAGGAAUCGAGGAGGCAGAAACCAGUGCCAGGAGAAUGUGACAAGGACAUUCCUCCGUGGACAGGUAAGGAGCACGAUGUGAAAUGCAGCAGUUUAAUUUCUGCUGCAACAUCCCCUCGAUUGGCUUCUUGUUCCAGUGGGCAACUGC